rnacentral:rRNA from 1 species
UCAAGCUACAAAGGGCUAAUGGUGGAUACCUAGGCACGUAGAGGCGAUGAAGGACGUGGCUACCGACGAAACGUUCCGGGGAGCUGGAAGCAAGCGAUGAGCCGGAAAUGUCCGAAUGGGACAACCCUUAAUACGACCUGUUGAAUAUAUAGACAGGAACGAGCCAACCCGGCGAAUUGAAACAUCUUAGUAGCCGGAGGAAGAGAAAACAAAAGUGAUUCCCCUAGUAGCGGUGAGCGGACGGGGAACAGCCUAAACUGUAUUGCUUGCAAUACAGGGUUGUGGGACAGCGACAUGGAAUCCAUAGAUUAGAUGAAGCAGCGAAAUACUGCACCAGAGAAGGUGAAAGUCCUGUAGUCGAAAAUUGAUUGGAUACUAGCUGUAUCCCGAGUAGGUAGGGGCACGUGAAAUCCCUAUUGAAUCAGCGAGGACCAUCUCGUAAGGCUAAAUACUACUACGUGACCGAUAGCGAAAAGUACCGCGAGGGAAAGGUGAAAAGAACCCCGGAAGGGGAGUGAAAUAGAACAUGAAACCAUUAGCCUACAAGCAGUUGAAGCACGAUUAAACGUGUGACAGCGUGCCUGUUGAAGAAUGAGCCGGCGACUUAUAGGUACUGGUAGGUUAAGGCGGGAAUGCCGGAGCCAAAGAGAAAUCGAGUCUGAAUAGGGCGUUAAUCAGUAUUUAUAGACCCGAACCCUGGCGAUCUAACCAUGCCCAGGAUGAAGCUUGGGUAACACCAAGUGGAGGUCCGAACCGACUGAUGUUGAAAAAUCAGCGGAUGAGGUGUGGUUAGCGGUGAAAUGCCAAUCGAGCCAGGAGCUAGCUGGUUCUCCCCGAAAUGUGUUGAGGCGCAGCGGUAAUGAUUAUAUCUGGGGGGUAAAGCACUGUUUCGGUGCGGGCUGCGAGAGCGGUACCAAAUCGAUGCAAACUCAGAAUACCCAGAGAACACAUUGCCAGUGAGACGGUGGGGGAUAAGCUUCAUCGUCAAGAGGGAAACAGCCCAGACCGCCAGCUAAGGUCCCAAAAUUAUUACUAAGUGGCAAAGGAGGUGGGAGUGCAUAGACAACCAGGAGGUUUGCCUAGAAGCAGCCAUCCUUGAAAGAGUGCGUAAUAGCUCACUGGUCAAGCGCUCCUGCGCCGAAAAUGAACGGGACUAAGUAAUAUACCGAAGCUGCGGACUUACAUUGUAAGUGGUAGGGGAGCGUUCUAUACGGGUAGAAGCAAUAGCGGCGAGCAGUUGUGGACUGUAUAGAAGUGAGAAUGUCGGCUUGAGUAGCGAAAAUAUAUGUGAGAAUCAUAUACCCCGAAACCCUAAGGGUUCCUCCGCCAGGUUCGUCCUCGGAGGGUUAGCCGGGACCUAAGGCGAGGCUGAAAAGCGUAGUCGAUGGACAUAGGGUCAAUAAUCCCUAGCUAUUAAGUGGGAGCAUAAUCAGGACGCAUUAAGGAUAGCUACACCCUGAUUGGAUUGGGAGUUCUCCACGGAGAACGCGUAGUGAAGAAUAGUGCCAAGAAAAGCCGAUUAUGUGUUGAAAGCUUAGUACCCGUACCCGAAACCGACACAGGUAGGGAGGUUGAGUAAACUAAGGGGCGCGAGAUAACUCUCUCUAAGGAACUCGGCAAAAUGACCCCGUAACUUCGGAAGAAGGGGUGCCUGCGAGAGCAGGUCACAGUAAAGAGGCCCAGGCGACUGUUUACCAAAAACACAGGUCUCUGCAAACUCGUAAGAGGACGUAUAGGGGCUGACGCCUGCCCAGUGCCGGAAGGUUAAGGAAGUUGGUCAGUCCUUCGGGAUGAAGCUAACGACUGAAGCCCCGGUGAACGGCGGCCGUAACUAUAACGGUCCUAAGGUAGCGAAAUUCCUUGUCGGGUAAGUUCCGACCCGCACGAAAGGCGUAACGAUCUGGGCACUGUCUCGGAGAGAGGCUCGGCGAAAUAGGAUUGUCUGUGAAGAUACGGACUACCUGCACCCGGACAGAAAGACCCUAUGAAGCUUUACUGUAGUCUGGAAUUGGGUUCGGGCUUGGCUUGCGCAGUAUAGGUGGGAGGCGUUGAAGCAUUCCUUGUGGGGAAUGUGGAGCCAACAGUGAGAUACCACUCUAGCGAAGCUAGAAUUCUAACCUACUUCCGUUAGCCGGAAGAGGAACAGUUUCAGAUGGGCAGUUUGACUGGGGCGGUCGCCUCCUAAAAGGUAACGGAGGCGCGCAAAGGUUCUCUCAGCACGCUUGGAAACCGUGCGUCGAGUGUAAAGGCAAUAAGAGAGCUUGACUGCAAGACCUACAAGUCGAGCAGGGACGAAAGUCGGCCUUAGUGAUCCGACGGCUCAGAAUGGAAUGGCCGUCGCUCAACGGAUAAAAGUUACUCUAGGGAUAACAGGCUGAUCUCCCCCAAGAGUCCACAUCGACGGGGAGGUUUGGCACCUCGAUGUCGGCUCAUCGCAACCUGGGGCGGAAGUACGUCCCAAGGGUUGGGCUGUUCGCCCAUUAAAGCGGUACGUGAGCUGGGUUCAGAACGUCGUGAGACAGUUCGGUCCAUAUCCGGUGCAGGCGCAAGAACAUUGAGAGGAGUCCUCCUUAGUACGAGAGGACCGGGAGGGACGCACCGCUGGUGUACCAGUUAUCGUGCCAACGGUAAACGCUGGGUAGCCAAGUGCGGAGCGGAUAACCGCUGAAAGCAUCUAAGUGGGAAGCCCACCUCAAGAUGAGUGUUCUCACUACGUAAGUAGGUAAGGUCACGGGAAGAAUACCCGUUUAUAGGUGGUAGGUGGAAGUGCAGUAAUGUAUGUAGCCGAGCCAUUCUAACAGACCGAGGGCUUGACCU